CCUAACACAUGCAAGUCGAACGGUAACAGGAAACAGCUUGCUGUUUCGCUGACGAGUGGCGGACGGGUGAGUAAUGUCUGGGAAACUGCCUGAUGGAGGGGGAUAACUACUGGAAACGGUAGCUAAUACCGCAUAACGUCGCAAGACCAAAGAGGGGGACCUUCGGGCCUCUUGCCAUCGGAUGUGCCCAGAUGGGAUUAGCUAGUAGGUGGGGUAACGGCUCACCUAGGCGACGAUCCCUAGCUGGUCUGAGAGGAUGACCAGCCACACUGGAACUGAGACACGGUCCAGACUCCUGCGGGAGGCAGCAGUGGGGAAUAUUGCACAAUGGGCGCAAGCCUGAUGCAGCCAUGCCGCGUGUAUGAAGAAGGCCUUCGGGUUGUAAAGACUUUCAGCGGGGAGGAAGGGAGUAAAGUUAAUACCUUUGCUCAUUGACGUUACCCGCAGAAGAAGCACCGGCUAACUCCGUGCCAGCAGCCGCGGUAAUACGGAGGGUGCAAGCGUUAAUCGGAAUUACUGGGCGUAAAGCGCACGCAGGCGGUUUGUUAAGUCAGAUGUGAAAUCCCCGGGCCCAACCUGGGAACUGCAUCUGAUACUGGCAAGCUUGAGUCUC
rnacentral:rRNA from 1 species